rnacentral:rRNA from 1 species
CCUACGGGAGGCAGCAGUGAGGAAUAUUGGUCAAUGGCCGGAAGGCUGAACCAGCCAAGCCGCGUGAAGGACGAAGGUGCCAAGCAUUGUAAACCUCUUUUGUCAAGGGACAAAAUCAGGCUCGAGAGCCUGAACGAGGGUACCUGAAGAAAAAGCAUCGGCUAACUCCGUGCCAGCAGCCGCGGUAAUACGGAGGAUGCGAGCGUUAUCCGGAUUUAUUGGGUUUAAAGGGUGCGUAGGCGGGCUGUUAAGUGUGCGGUAAAAGCCCGGGGCUCAACCCCGGCGAGCCGUGGGAACUGGCGGUCUUGAGAUGUCGGAAGGUAUGCGGAAUGCGCAGUGUAGCGGUGAAAUGCUUAGAUAUGGCGCAGAACUCCGAUUGCGAAGGCAGCAUGCCGCCGGCGAUCUGACGCUGAGGCACGAAAGCGUGGGUAUCGAACAGGAUUAGAUACCCCUGUAGUC